CAGCCGCCGCGGGAAUACGGAGGGUGCAAGCGUUAAUCGGAAUUACUGGGCGUAAAGCGCACGCAGGCGGUCUGACAAGUCAGAUGUGAAAUCCCCGGGCUUAACCUGGGAACUGCAUUUGAAACUGUCAGGCUGGAGUCUUGUAGAGGGGGGUGGAAUUCCAGGUGUAGCGGUGAAAUGCGUAGAGAUCUGGAGGAAUACCGGUGGCGAAGGCGGCCCCCUGGACAAAGACUGACGCUCAGGUGCGAAAGCGUGGGGAGCAAACAGGAUUAGAUACCCCGGUAGUCCCUGUCUUUUAUAA
rnacentral:rRNA from 1 species